AAUAACUGAAAAUAUCAAAUUUUUGUUAAGUUGAAAUUUAUGUUUAAUUUGUUUUGGUUAUGUAUGUUUGGGGAUAUUUUUGGACUUAAGGACUUAAUAAUUGUAUUGUGAGAAUAAUGUAAUGAUUUAUGAAAAUAUAGUUUGAUAAGAUAAAGAUGAUUGGUUGGUUGAGAAGAGAGAUUAUGUGAUUUAUUUGGGAAAAAAAGAAGAUAAAAAGGGAGAUUUUGUGGGUUUUAAAUGAGGAGAGAAAAUUUGUUUUAUUUGGUUGAGUCUGGAGAAAGAGGAAAAGGAAAAGAAAAAUAAUAAUUAAUGCUAUUAUUUUGUUUAAAUAUGGCAUAGGAAGUUGUGUUAUCUCCUUCAUUGGAAAAAAAAAGAAAGAAAAGGAGAAAACCCUAACACUAAUCCCGCCGUCGCCACCCCCUUUUGCAAACCGCCACCGUCGCCGCAACCGCCGUCAGUCCGAGCUGAUCGACUUCAUCAGGCGCGUCGCCUCCGUCGUUUGAAGUCGCGCUGCCGUCAUAGUCGAAUCGUGCGCAAGCGUCAGCCGUCACGUGGAGCACAUCACGCACGACAACGCUCCGUCAGCCAUCGCCUCCGUCUUCAGUUGUUCGCAGCGAAUCGAGUCGUCCGGCUUGCAGUAGCAACAUCGUCGCCGUCUUCGUCGUUGGUCUUAUCUGUCAACGAACCAUCAGCAGGCGUAACCCGAGUCAACCUGACAACAGCCGCCUGAGCCGUUCGAGCCGCGUGUGCGAGUUGUGCCUCCAACCGCCCGCAAGCGUCAAGUCGAGCCGCACGUGCGUUGUUUUGCUGAGUCGUGCCUAGAGUCUACCCGAGUGGAGCCACACGCGAGUCCUUAGCUGAGUCGACUAGCCAGUCCCUUCCUCCAGCUGAGCUGCCAGUCGGUUUUCCCCCUCCAGUCAAGCCAGUUGAGCUGCCAAGCUUCUUUUAACCCUAUUUUUGACCCAUUUUUCUUGGUAAGCCUUGGUAUGCUUGAUUUGGUUUAGUCUACCCAGCUAAGGUUUAUUUUGACCUUAACUAAGUUAAUUGUUGGAUUAAAUUGACUAUAGUUAACUGGAAGCCGAGCUGGGAAUUUGUCCAACUAAGUCUAAACCGAGUUAGGCCUUGAUCUUGGGACAUCGCUGCUUGGAAGGCGUGAUUUUACUGUUAAAUUUUGAUUGAUCUAAUCUCCAGUCAGAGGCAGAGAUAAGAGCAAAGGCAAGCUGGCGAGUGACCAGAAGUGAUCGUGGCGAGCCAUAGGGAUCUUUUACUUCCGCUUUAUGUCAUUGUUCAGAUUUUAAUGUUUGCAUUUUAUUUUAUUCUUUAUUUGUUAUUUUAUUUCUUUAAAACUAGAUA